GGGGGUGAAACGGUUUCGACGGGGGCAAGGGGGUAAAGGCGGCAUGCCGAGUCCCCACCGGCUCGUAAAAGGUGGGAAAAACACAACUGCCAAUAACGAAUUGGCCCUCGCUGCCUAACUAGCAGCGACGUCCUCCUUGCCCCGCUUGCCGGGUGAGAUCAGGGCGUCAUAAAGGCAAGCUAGGCUUGCCGAUCCCGGCCCGGGGUCGGCCGGAUGAAAACCAACGGGCUGGUCGUCGAGAGCCCCGCCGGCAGGGCCGCUUGGCGACGAGACACCAAUGGCCGGCUACGCAUGUAGAUGCCUUUACUGACAGGUUCUCGGACGGGGGUUCGACUCCCCCCACCUCCACCA
rnacentral:tmRNA from 1 species